rnacentral:rRNA from 1 species
UAGGGAAUCUUCGGCAAUGGACGAAAGUCUGACCGAGCAACGCCGCGUGAGUGGAGAAGGUUUUCGGAUCGUAAAACUCUGUUGUUAGAGAAGAACAAGGACGUUAGUAACUGAACGUCCCCUGACGGUAUCUAACCAGAAAGCCACGGCUAACUACGUGCCAGCAGCCGCGGUAAUACGUAGGUGGCAAGCGUUGUCCGGAUUUAUUGGGCGUAAAGCGAGCGCAGGCGGUUUCUUAAGUCUGAUGUGAAAGCCCCCGGCUCAACCGGGGAGGGUCAUUGGAAACUGGGAGACGUGGGUGCAGAAGAGGAGAGUGGAAUUCCAUGUGUAGCGGUGAAAUGCGUAGAUAUAUGGAGGAACACCAGUGGAGAAGGCGGCUCUCUGGUCUGUAACUGACGCUGAGGCUCGAAAGCGUGGGGAGCAAACAGG